CGUCCUAUUUUUUCCUUAUUUUUAUUUUCCUCUCGUCGCCGAAGUCCCGAAGUCGCGAUCCUCUCGUCGAAGCCCCGAAGCCGCGAUCCUCCUCGACGCCACAUGCCGCACCUGCUCUCCUCUCGCCGAAGCCUCGCGAUCCUCUCCUCGCCGCCACAGCAGUCUCUCGCCGAAGCCUGCUCUCUCUCUCGCCGCGCCUGCUCUCUCUCUCGCCGCAGCGGAUCAAAACUGUGCCCUAGCUCGCCACGAACACGACAGGCUCGUGGCCACGUGUGCCGCCCUCUCUCGAAGUCCUCCCGGUGCGCCAAGACUCGCGGCGACAAGCUAACAGAGGCGUCGCGAAACUAGGGAUCGCAGAAUCGCCUUGCCCUCUCCUGUUGGAGUUUUUGUGAACAAUCAAAAUAUUGAAUUAGGUUUGGUAUCCAGGUUUGCCUCCGCUUUACUUUCUUCUUGAUGUGUUUGGUGACGGGUAAUCUUGUAGGUGAGUUCCAUUCCUUUGAUUGCCCAAGAACUUAUUCGAUCUUUUAGAAACUGUUUUCAGUGUUGCAGGUUCUAGAUCAUGCUCAUCAUUCUCGGUAUGCCAACUUAUUCUUUUGGAGCUCAAAACUGCAGUGUCCCCUCGGCCGCUGGCAAAUUUCUGUUUUCUUUCGACGUGUGCUUCAGCUAGGAGAUUCUCCAAUAUAGCUUGUGGUUGCCCGAAGUUCAGUAACUGAUCGUCGGCCAGAUUCAACCAGUGUAGUCAAAGAUAUCUCCAACAUGUCAAAGAUAUCAACAUUGCCUUGAAAAGCAUCGGCUGCUGUUAAAUCAGAUAGUGACUCCUUCGUUGUUAGGGAAUUGGUAGGUGGUGAAGCUGCCACAUCGAGAUUGGAUUAUGCUUCGAUUACAUAUCCCAUGGAUGGAAUUGCUCCCUCUGCAAAUGUAAACACGGAAAAGUGGCCCAUUGAUUAAAAGCCAUUAUAUACAUUAGGUAUUAGAUUCAAUCAUAGCUUAGUCCAUUAAGUAUUAGAUGCAUUGAUUGGAUCCAUCGAUAUUAUGUUAGUUAGAGCCCUAGAGUUAAUCAUUUGAUGAUUGUAUUAUGGACUUGUUGUAUCAUAUUCUUAUAUAAAUAAAGACAUUUGUUUUGAUUA